rnacentral:rRNA from 1 species
UUAAGCGACUAAGCGUACACGGUGGAUGCCCUGGCAGUCAGAGGCGAUGAAGGACGUGCUAAUCUGCGAUAAGCGUCGGUGAGGUGAUAUGAACCGUUAUAACCGGCGAUUUCCGAAUGGGGAAACCCAGUGUGUUUCGACACACUAUCAUUAACUGAAUCCAUAGGUUAAUGAGGCGAACCGGGGGAACUGAAACAUCUAAGUACCCCGAGGAAAAGAAAUCAACCGAGAUUCCCCCAGUAGCGGCGAGCGAACGGGGAGGAGCCCAGAGCCUGAAUCAGUGUGUGUGUUAGUGGAAGCGUCUGGAAAGGCGUGCGAUACAGGGUGACAGCCCCGUACACAAAAAUGCACAUAUUGUGAGCUCGAUGAGUAGGGCGGGACACGUGGUAUCCUGUCUGAAUAUGGGGGGACCAUCCUCCAAGGCUAAAUACUCCUGACUGACCGAUAGUGAACCAGUACCGUGAGGGAAAGGCGAAAAGAACCCCGGCGAGGGGAGUGAAAAAGAACCUGAAACCGUGUACGUACAAGCAGUGGGAGCCUCUUAAUGAGGUGACUGCGUACCUUUUGUAUAAUGGGUCAGCGACUUAUAUUCUGUAGCAAGGUUAACCGAAUAGGGGAGCCGAAGGGAAACCGAGUCUUAACUGGGCGUUAAGUUGCAGGGUAUAGACCCGAAACCCGGUGAUCUAGCCAUGGGCAGGUUGAAGGUUGGGUAACACUAACUGGAGGACCGAACCGACUAAUGUUGAAAAAUUAGCGGAUGACUUGUGGCUGGGGGUGAAAGGCCAAUCAAACCGGGAGAUAGCUGGUUCUCCCCGAAAGCUAUUUAGGUAGCGCCUCGUGAAUUCAUCUCCGGGGGUAGAGCACUGUUUCGGCAAGGGGGUCAUCCCGACUUACCAACCCGAUGCAAACUGCGAAUACCGGAGAAUGUUAUCACGGGAGACACACGGCGGGUGCUAACGUCCGUCGUGAAGAGGGAAACAACCCAGACCGCCAGCUAAGGUCCCAAAGUCAUGGUUAAGUGGGAAACGAUGUGGGAAGGCCCAGACAGCCAGGAUGUUGGCUUAGAAGCAGCCAUCAUUUAAAGAAAGCGUAAUAGCUCACUGGUCGAGUCGGCCUGCGCGGAAGAUGUAACGGGGCUAAACCAUGCACCGAAGCUGCGGCAGCGACACUAUGUGUUGUUGGGUAGGGGAGCGUUCUGUAAGCCUGUGAAGGUGGCCUGUGAGGGUUGCUGGAGGUAUCAGAAGUGCGAAUGCUGACAUAAGUAACGAUAAAGCGGGUGAAAAGCCCGCUCGCCGGAAGACCAAGGGUUCCUGUCCAACGUUAAUCGGGGCAGGGUGAGUCGACCCCUAAGGCGAGGCCGAAAGGCGUAGUCGAUGGGAAACAGGUUAAUAUUCCUGUACUUGGUGUUACUGCGAAGGGGGGACGGAGAAGGCUAUGUUGGCCGGGCGACGGUUGUCCCGGUUUAAGCGUGUAGGCUGGUUUUCCAGGCAAAUCCGGAAAACCAAGGCUGAGGCGUGAUGACGAGGCACUACGGUGCUGAAGCGACAAAUGCCCUGCUUCCAGGAAAAGCCUCUAAGCAUCAGGUAACAUCAAAUCGUACCCCAAACCGACACAGGUGGUCAGGUAGAGAAUACCAAGGCGCUUGAGAGAACUCGGGUGAAGGAACUAGGCAAAAUGGUGCCGUAACUUCGGGAGAAGGCACGCUGAUAUGUAGGUGAAGCGACUUGCUCGUGGAGCUGAAAUCAGUCGAAGAUACCAGCUGGCUGCAACUGUUUAUUAAAAACACAGCACUGUGCAAACACGAAAGUGGACGUAUACGGUGUGACGCCUGCCCGGUGCCGGAAGGUUAAUUGAUGGGGUUAGCGGUAACGCGAAGCUCUUGAUCGAAGCCCCGGUAAACGGCGGCCGUAACUAUAACGGUCCUAAGGUAGCGAAAUUCCUUGUCGGGUAAGUUCCGACCUGCACGAAUGGCGUAAUGAUGGCCAGGCUGUCUCCACCCGAGACUCAGUGAAAUUGAACUCGCUGUGAAGAUGCAGUGUACCCGCGGCAAGACGGAAAGACCCCGUGAACCUUUACUAUAGCUUGACACUGAACAUUGAGCCUUGAUGUGUAGGAUAGGUGGGAGGCUUUGAAGUGUGGACGCCAGUCUGCAUGGAGCCGGCCUUGAAAUACCACCCUUUAAUGUUUGAUGUUCUAACGUUGGCCCGUAAUCCGGGUUGCGGACAGUGUCUGGUGGGUAGUUUGACUGGGGCGGUCUCCUCCUAAAGAGUAACGGAGGAGCACGAAGGUUGGCUAAUCCUGGUCGGACAUCAGGAGGUUAGUGCAAUGGCAUAAGCCAGCUUGACUGCGAGCGUGACGGCGCGAGCAGGUGCGAAAGCAGGUCAUAGUGAUCCGGUGGUUCUGAAUGGAAGGGCCAUCGCUCAACGGAUAAAAGGUACUCCGGGGAUAACAGGCUGAUACCGCCCAAGAGUUCAUAUCGACGGCGGUGUUUGGCACCUCGAUGUCGGCUCAUCACAUCCUGGGGCUGAAGUAGGUCCCAAGGGUAUGGCUGUUCGCCAUUUAAAGUGGUACGCGAGCUGGGUUUAGAACGUCGUGAGACAGUUCGGUCCCUAUCUGCCGUGGGCGCUGGAGAACUGAGGGGGGCUGCUCCUAGUACGAGAGGACCGGAGUGGACGCAUCACUGGUGUUCGGGUUGUCAUGCCAAUGGCACUGCCCGGUAGCUAAAUGCGGAAGAGAUAAGUGCUGAAAGCAUCUAAGCACGAAACUUGCCCCGAGAUGAGUUCUCCCUGACCCCUUGAGGGUCCUGAAGGAACGUUGAAGACGACGACGUUGAUAGGCCGGGUGUGUAAGCGCAGCGAUGCGUUGAGCUAACCGGUACUAAUGAACCGUGAGGCUUAACCUU